rnacentral:rRNA from 1 species
GGGUUUUUAACUUCUUUCAGUUAAGGAAGAAUCGACUGGGUUUUUUAAGACGUGGCCGGUACUGCAGAAGAAGCCCCGGCUAACUACGUGACAGCAGGCGCGGUAAUACGUAGGGGGCAAGCGUUGUCCGGAAUUAUUUGGGGCGUAAAGAGGUUCUUAGGCGGUUUUAUCCGCGUAUGGGUGUGGAAAACUCAAAGGCUCAAACCUUGAGCCUUGCAUUGGGGUACGGGGCAGACCUAGAGGUUGGGUAGGGGGUCCCCCCCCCCUUUUUUUUUUUACGGUGGAAAUCGCAGAUUGGGGGGGGGGNNNNNAAAAAGCGAAGGUGUCCCNNNNNNNNNCACUGACGCUGAGGAGCGAAAGCAUGAGGAGCGAACAGGAUUUAGAUACCCCUGGGUAGUCCAUGCCCGUAAACCGUUGGGCACUAGGUGUGGGGCUCAUUCCACGAGUUGGCGCCGCAGCUAACGCAUUAAGUGCCCCGCCUGGGGAGUACGGCCGCAAGGCUAAAACUCAAAGGAAUUGACGGGGGCCCGCACAAGCGGCGGAGCAUGCGGAUUAAUUCGAUGCAACGCGAAGAACCUUACCAAGGCUUGACAUACACCGGAAUCGGCCAGAGAUGGUCGCGUCUUCGGACUGGUGUACAGGUGGUGCAUGGUUGUCGUCAGCUCGUGUCGUGAGAUGUUGGGUUAAGUCCCGCAACGAGCGCAACCCUCGUCCUAUGUUGCCAGCACGUCAUGGUGGGGACUCAUAGGAGACUGCCGGGGUCAACUCGGAGGAAGGCGGNGACGACG